AACGAACGCUGGCGGCAUGCCUAACACAUGCAAGUCGAACGAGACCUUCGGGUCUAGUGGCGCACGGGUGCGUAACGCGUGGGAACCUGCCCUUAGGUUCGGAAUAACUCCCCGAAAGGGGUGCUAAUACCGGAUAAUGUCUUCGGACCAAAGAUUUAUCGCCUUUGGAUGGGCCCGCGUUGGAUUAGCUAGUUGGUAGGGUAAAAGCCUACCAAGGCGACGAUCUAUAGCUGGUCUGAGAGGAUGAUCAGCCACACUGGGACUGAGACACGGCCCAGACUCCUACGGGAAGCAGCAGUGGGGAAUAUUGGACAAUGGGCGAAAGCCUGAUCCAGCAAUGCCGCGUGAGUGAUGAAGGCCUUAGGGUUGUAAAGCUCUUUUACCCGGGAUGAUAAUGACAGUACCGGGAGAAUAAGCUCCGGCUAACUCCGUG
rnacentral:rRNA from 1 species